UCACCCGGAUGCCCUGCAGCACCCGGACCCGCUCCUCGUGGUCCAUUCCGAGGCAAAAUGUGGUUGUGUGGGACAUGGCAUUGCCGGCCACCAGAGGCUCUACCAUGCUCUUUACCUGCACGUCUGGAACAUGUGGCUUCCUCGCCUGACUCAGCAGGACGAGUGAGCCUCAGAGCCUAGAGAACUGAGCCCCAGCUUUCCCUGCCUCGGCAACUGUCACCCCCAUUCACAUCCACUGACCAUGCAGGCCCACUGCCCCUCCCACCUGCAAGAGCGGGGAAGUGCCGUCCUCUGUGAGUAGAAGGAGAAAGGAAACAUCUGAACACUAGACCAUCAGGCACAACUGGUGAAUGAACAGCUCAUUGACCCCUUACUGUUUCCUGAGAAGGUCCAUGUAAGAAAGAUGUACUGAUAAUAACCGAGAAAUUCCAGACGCUGAAAGAUCACACUGAGACAAAAUCACAAUCCAUUCUGUGCACAGGUGUCGUGCUGACAGCAUACACGCAUCUUCUGCCACAAUGCUCCAUGGAUCUUCUGUCUUACGAAGGUGUUUCCUGGGUGCUAAGAUUGUCGCCCAGCGACACGGGCAUGUUUGUACCUUUGAAAGCAAGUUGUUGCUGCUCGUCA